rnacentral:lncRNA from 1 species
GUUUUUAGGGCUGAGAGAGUGGGUCCUCCAAAGUGAGUGAGUGUAUUUAACUGUAUAAUUGUAUAUAAUUAGAUAUCAGCAUGGCCAGCUGAAUGAUAGUGUGAAUGGUGCAACUGCACAAGGCCCCACAAUCCUGCAUGAUCCAAUUCAUAUUUGAAACUAUUAUUAUUAUAAGGCUCCACAAGACAACUUUGCACCAGAUUCUUUUUCUCGGGCUGGUCCUGGAUAUCAGAUUGGAGGAAUGUGAUCUAUAUAAGAGAAUAGAUCACCAAAUAACUUAUUAUAGAAGAGUAACUCACAUAGCAAAAAAGGUUGAACAUCACUGAUAUAGAGUAUAGAUG